rnacentral:rRNA from 1 species
GUGGGGAAUAUUGGGCAAUGGGCGCAAGCCUGACCCAGCAACGCCGCGUGAAGGAAGAAGGCUUUCGGGUUGUAAACUUCUUUGACAGGGGACGAAACAAAUGACGGUACCUGGUGAAUAAGCCACGGCUAACUACGUGCCAGCAGCCGCGGUAAUACGUAGGUGGCGAGCGUUAUCCGGAUUUAUUGGGUGUAAAGGGCGUGUAGGCGGGACAGCAAGUCAGAUGUGAAAACCAGAGGCUCAACCUCUGGCCUGCAUUUGAAACUGUUGUUCUUGAGUGUCGGAGAGGUAAUCGGAAUUCCGUGUGUAGCGGUGAAAUGCGUAGAUAUACGGAGGAAAACCAGUGGCGAAGGCGGAUUACUGGACGAUAACUGACGCUGAGGCGCGAAAGCGUGGGGAGUAAACAGGAUUAGAUACCCGGGUAGUCC